rnacentral:rRNA from 1 species
CCCUUAGAUGUCCUGGGCUGCACGCGCGCUACACUGGAAGUUACGGAUUGAGAUACUACCUUGUCCGAAAUGGUCCGGGUAAUCACCUAAAAGCUUGUCAUAAUUGGAAUGGAUUAUUGUAACUAGUAAUCCUGGACGAGGAAUUCCUAGUAAGUCCCAGUCAACAGCUGGUACUGAUUACGUCCCUGCCCUUUGUACACACCGCCCGUCGCUACUACUGAUUGGACGUUUAAGCAAGAUUUUUAAACACUGACAGUGUGUAGUUCACGCUAUACUACAGUGAGAAGAAGAAGACCGAGCUUACUUGUCUAGAGGAAGUAAAAGUCGUAACA